GAAAAAAAUGAGAAAAAAGAUUGAUAUUGUUAUAUGUGAUGAAGUGCAACACGAGGUGGAUUCUUACCGAACUUUCAAAAUGCUUUGUAGUCGAGACUGGUUCUGAGAAGAAAUGCUAAAUCCUUGCUGGAUACAGAUCAGGGGGCUAUUGAAAAUCUGCAAAAGUCAAAUUCCCUCAGUUCAAGAAGACGACUCGUACCUGGGAAUGGCUCUGGACUAAUUACAAAAAAUCACUGCAGAAAGCAGACACAACAAGAGUUUUGCCAAAAGGAAGAAGGGCUGUUGAUCACUUGUGUGGUAGAGAGAAACACCCAGAAUCAGUCUGGACAGGAUGGAGUUUCAGUCUGGACAGGAUGGAGUUUUAGUCUGGACAGGAUGGAGUUUUAGUCUGGACAGGAUGUAGUUUUAGUCUGGACAGGAUGGAGUUUUAGUCUGGAAAGGAUGGAGCUUCAGUCUGGCUGGACAGGAUGGAGUUUUAGUCUGGACAGGAUGGAGUUUUAGUCUGGACAGGAUGGAGCUUCAGUCUGGACAGGAUGGAGCCUAACUGUGGAAAAACAGAAACUGACUGAUACACACAUUACAAUGACAAAUCAAUGACCAGAUUGGCAACCAGCUCCAGCUACUCAGCAUCACUCUGACUAUUUGUGCUGGUUGUUUUCUGUCUCAGCUGAAGGGAGGACAUUGUGUUUUAAAGUAUUUUCUUUCUGUCCUGAAGUAGGUCUACCUGCUUAAUACAUACAGACUUUCAUAUAGGUAAAGCAAAGGCACGCUAUGACUUAACUCUACCUUCAUAUAUUGGGCUGCCUUUAUCACAAUAGUUUCACAGUUUAAAAACGUGUGUUUUCAAAUGACUGUAUGCUACAUUGAUCUUUGGAUCACACUUGGAAUGCGAAAGGUUCCGAAUGUUAGUUUUAGGUCUCCCUGAAGUCCGUAGACUUCCACUCUAUUAGUCACCCUAGAACACAGUCAACGAGCCUAACGGAGAGGUGUAUUCAUCAGGGAUAUACUGUAGCUAAAUGUUUAAUGGAGGGCUACGCGAGCGUUUCUUGGACCAUUUCAGAAAUUGGUACACAAGAAGGAGGAGCACUAGUCUUUUUAGGAUUAAGUGAAAAUAGGGAGACAAUAUAUUUGUAUUAAGGGUUUAGUCUUUGAAUCGUGGAUUUGUGCAGAUUCCCUUGGCCUUCCUUCCUGUUUAACCUUUGAUGUCUGGUCUUGCUGUAGAGACUGAAUACAGCAGGAUUAUUGCUAGACUUUUUUUGUUUUCUUAACUAUUUUACGACGUAUUCAUUGACGAAACGAACUCCACUACAAAUACAAGCCUCUAUAGAAGAACCUCUGAUCCUUUUUUUGUUAGAAAUAAAAAGACAAAGAUGUUUUAUUUUCUAAGAGUAUGUAGUAGUAGCAUUAGUGAAAUAACCUACUAUGAUGGAUCAAAUUAUUAUUAUUUUUAUCAGUGGGCUAUUUUUUUUUUUUUUCCUUUUUUUGUGGAAAGAUUUAGAGACUGUAUCCAGACCUGCCUUACUGUUACCAAUAUGUUCCUUUUUUGAACAGGGAGUUAUUCUACCGUAAACUAAGAUUCUUUUUACGUAUUUUUUAUUUUUUUAAGGAUACUUCCACUGACAUUCUUAGAGCUGUCAUUUUAUUGUGAGGAACUGCAGUUCGAUCGGAAUAGUUUUUCUGUUUUCGUCCUCUGUUUUGUGAGUGACCCUCUCACUCAGUCAACUCGUCUCAGGGCACAAGUCUCCUCUUCUCCAGACACCGCGUGUGAAUCAGACUCCGUAGCUAGUUGUGACACGUGAGCCUCUGGAUGAAAAGCAGAGUAUCCCUAAAGCAGCGUGGUCCUAUCAGCCCCUCAUGUUGGACUAAACACUUUCAACUCUACACAAGUGAAAACCCCAAAUCCCUAAUGAUCCUCUAUUUGCCAUACUAGAGGGACAUGAAGUCUGACUCCAUCCUCAACAUGUGGACCUGCCCUGAGGAUGUUGGACACCACUGUUACACCUUCAGCCUUCGUUGAUUUCCUGUCAGACUGGUUGUUUUUCAACUCCAUUCCACGGACGGACUGUCCUGAACUUUUACCAGAACAGGAACACAAUGUUCAUCAGACUCUCUCCUCACCAGUGGACUGACUACUCAGACUGGUCAUCUUUGAACUCAACAGGAACACAAUGUUCAUCAGACUCCCUCCUCACCAGUGGACUGACUACUGAGACUGGUCAUCUUUGAACUCAACAGGAACACAAUGUUCAUCAGACUCCCUCCUCACCAGUGGACUGACUACUGAGACUGGUCAUCUUUGAACUCAACAGGAACACAAUGUUCAUCAGACUCUACUCAGACUGGUCGUCUUUGAACUCAAGAGGAACACAAUGUUCAACAGACUCUACUCAGACUGGUCGUCUUUGAACUCAAGAGGAACACAAUGUUCAACAGACUCUACUCAGACUGGUGGUCUUUGAACUCAACAGGAACACAAUGUUCAUCAGACUCUACUCAGACUGGUCGUCUUUGAACUCAACAGGAACACAAUGUUCAUCAGACUCUACUCAGACUGGUCGUCUUUGAACUCAAGAGGAACACAAUGUUCAACAGACUCCCUCCUCACCAGUGGGACUGACUACUGAGACUGGUUGUGAGGUCACAGGAAAUAGAGUCACGUUCACGUUUUGGAAAUUCAAUGGUCAUUAAAAAAUAAAAUCUGCAUUUACACUGUU